AAAUCAGCCAUGGUGAAGAUUUCUGGAGAAGCCCAGUUAAGACUUUUCUGUGGAGAAAGGGGAUUCCACUACACUACUAGUUCCUUAACUGUUCGAUCAGCAUGUCUGCAGUUUCCAAUGAUUAAGCCCACCCUCAUUGUAAACUUUAAAACUCAUACCCCUUUUGUAACUGAAGGCCAUUUUUCUACCCAGAAAAGGAGCCCUUACAAUGCCUGAUUGAUAGACUCCACUGUGGAAUAAAGGAAAGCUUACUUUUCCAUUUGAGGUCUGCUUCCAUCCUAGUUAUUUGUGUUUUUAUAAUGGUGUUGAAACCAUGUUGGUUAUUUUUGCUUACAGUCUCUCCUGAUGAAUAAUACACUGAACAGCCAAAAAUUCAUUUUUUACAUUCCCAGAAAGUGAGACAAUUGAGGAGCCUCAGAUUUUUUUUUUUUUUUUUUUUGGUACCAGUGAUUGAACCCAGGGGCACUUAACUACUGGUCACAUCUCUAGUCCUUUUUUUAUAUAUUUUAUUUGGAGACAGGGUCUUACUGAAUUGUUUUGGACCUUGCUAAAUAGCUGAGGCUGGCUUUGAUUCUGCAAUCCUCCUACCUGAGCCUCCCAAACAGCUGGGAUUAAAGUACCCAUUAGUAUAUGGAUAGGUACUUCUGAGGGUACUUCUAUUAUUUGUUCUCCCACAACAUUAAAAUGCCAAAAUAUUUCCAGAUUAGGUGUGUUAUGUGUGACAUUUUCUCUUCAGGUAUCAAUAGUGAACACAACAAGGUUUUGUGCUUCAAACAUUGCAUGUUGUCCAUUUCAGCUCAUCAUAGAAAUUAAAAAUAAUUUUUUUGUAGUUGUAGAUGGACAGAAAGCUUUUAUUUUAUUUGUUUAUUUUUGUGUGGUGCUAAGGAUCAAACCCAGUGCUUCACACAUGCUAGGCAAGCACUCUGUCACUGAGCUACAGCCCCAGCCCCACAAAUAUACUUUUAAAGGGACCAGGGUCAUUCACGGUUGUAGCUGUAGGCUUCUUCCAAGAGGAGUGGCAGCACCUGGACCCUGCUCAAAGGAC
rnacentral:lncRNA from 1 species